AGAAUCAACGCUGGCGGCGUGCCUAACACAUGCAAGUCGAACGAGAAAGUGGAGCAAUCCAUGAGUAAAGUGGCGACCGGGUGAGUAACACGUGACUAACCUACCCUAGAGUGGGGGAUAACCUCGGGAAAACCGGGGCUAAUACCGCAUAACAUCUUCGGGAUGAGAAGCUGAAGAUCAAAGGAGCAAUUCGCUUUUGGAGGGGGUCGCGGCUGAUUAGCUAGUUGGCGGGUAACGCCCACAAGGCUUUGAUCGGUA
rnacentral:rRNA from 1 species